rnacentral:rRNA from 1 species
UACAGAGGGUGCAAGCGUUAAUCGGAAUUACUGGGCGUAAAGGGCGCGUAGGCGGUUGAUUGAGUGAGAUGUGAAAUCCCUGGGCUUAACCUAGGAACUGCAUCUCAUACUGAUUAGCUAGAGUAUUGUAGAGGGUAGUGGAAUUUCCGGUGUAGCGGUGAAAUGCGUAGAGAUCGGAAGGAACACCAGUGGCGAAGGCGGCUACCUGGACAAAUACUGACGCUGAGGCGCGAAAGCGUGGGGAGCAAACAGG